AUACGUAGGGAGCAAGCGUUGUCCGGAAUUACUGGGCGUAAAGGGCGUGUAGGUGGAUGUAUAAGUCAGAUGUGAAAACUCCGGGCUCAACUUGGAGAUUGCAUUUGAAACUGGACGUCUUGAGGGUAGGAGAGGAAAGUGGAAUUCCUAGUGUAGCGGUGAAAUGCGUAGAUAUUAGGAGGAACACCAGUGGCGAAGGCGACUUUCUGGACUAUACCUGACACUGAGGCGCGAAAGCGU
rnacentral:rRNA from 1 species